rnacentral:piRNA from 1 species
UGACAAGUCCUAGGUUUGCUAUCCAGAGC